AAGUUAAGAUAAAUAGGAGUCCUUUACUCACUCGUUGUCCUCCCACCUAGCUAACACUACCAGUUAUCUUUAGGAUCUUGGAAUCACCACUACCCUUUCAAUCAUUUAUUCGUCACCCCUAUUCACUAGUUAAAUACUAAAUCUUAGUAGACACAAGGAUCUCAUUCCCCUUUUGUUAAACACUCUUAGUCGCUCGGAAUACUCCUAGGUGAAGUGCUACAGCGGUAUAUUCUGUGCGCUUGCGGAAUCAUCCAAUAGUUAAUAGAGUUACCCCUAACGACACUUCUAGCGCCGUUGCCGAUUUCCGGUGGUUGCGUUAAGAAGUGUCAACAACGACCUCCAUGCCACCC
rnacentral:lncRNA from 1 species